rnacentral:rRNA from 1 species
UACGUAGGGGGCAAGCGUUGUCCGGAAUCAUUGGGCGUAAAGCGCGUGUAGGCGGCCCGGUAAGUCCGCUGUGAAAGUCGGGGGCUCAACCCUCGAAUGCCGGUGGAUACUGUCGGGCUAGAGUGCGGAAGAGGCGAGUGGAAUUCCUGGUGUAGCGGUGAAAUGCGCAGAUAUCAGGAGGAACACCAAUUGCGAAGGCAGCUCGCUGGGACGUUACUGACGCUGGAGACGCGAAAGCGUGGGGAGCAAACAGG